GACGAACCGAGCGAACGUUAUUCGGAAUCACUGGGCUUAAGGGCGCGUAGGCGGGCGGUCAAGUCGGAGGUGAAAGCCUGCAGCUCAACUGCAGAAGUGCCCCCGAUACUGAUCACCUCGAGGGAGGUAGGGGCGUGCGGAACUUCCGGUGGAGCGGUGAAAUGCGUAGAUAUCGGAAGGAACACCGGUGGCGAAAGCGGCGCGCUGGACCUCUUCUGACGCUGAGGCGCGAAAGCCAGGGGAGCAAACAGG
rnacentral:rRNA from 1 species